rnacentral:rRNA from 1 species
UAACAAGGUUUCCGUAGGUGAACCUGCGGAAGGAUCAUUGUCGAAA